rnacentral:hammerhead_ribozyme from 1 species
ACUGCUGAGGAGUCCCACAAUAGGACGAAACGCGAGUCAAACUGAAU